UACGUAGGGAGCAAGCGUUGUCCGGAAUUAUUGGGCGUAAAGAGCUCGUAGGCGGUGUGUCACGUCGUUCGUGAAAACCUGCAGCUUAACUGUGGGCGUGCGGUCGAUACGGGCAUCACUGGAGUUCGGCAGGGGAGACUGGAAUUCCUGGUGUAGCGGUGAAAUGCGCAGAUAUCAGGAGGAACACCGGUGGCGAAGGCGGUUCUCUGGGCAUUACCUGACGCUGAGGAGCGAAAGCGUGGGGAGCGAACAGG
rnacentral:rRNA from 1 species